UGGUCAAGCUGUAAAGGGCGCAAGGGGAAUGCCUUGGCACCAGGAGCCGAUGAAGGACGUGACAAGCUGCGAUAAGCUUGGGGGAGCUGCAAAUAAGCAUUGAUCCCAAGAUUUCCGAAUGGGGAAACCCGCAUGAGAGAAGCUCAUGCAGCUCAUACUGAAUCAAAUAGGUAUGAGUGGGGAACCGCCUGAACUGAAACAUCUAAGUAGGGCGAGGAAGAGACAUCAACAGAGAUUCCGCUAGUAGUGGCGAGCGAACGCGGAAGAGGCCAAACCUGAGGUAGCAAUAUCUCAGGGGUUCGGACUGCAAUAUGUAGUGUGAAAGAUAGCUGAACGCUUUGGGAAGAGCGGCGAAACAGGGUGACAGCCCCGUAAGCGACAUCGGAAGCACGCUAGCAGUAUCCAGAGUACCACAGGACACGAGGAACCCUGUGGGAAGACGGGUGGACCAUCAUCCAAGCCUAAAUACUACCUGGUGACCGAUAGCGAAGCAGUACCGUGAGGGAAAGGUGAAAAGGACCCCGGGAGGGGAGUGAAAGAGAACCUGAAACCUUGUGCCUACAAGCACCGAGAGCACGUUCAUGUGUGAUCGGGUACUUUUUGUAGAACGGUCCGGCGAGUUAAUGUAUGUAGCAAGGUUAAGUGACUGGAGUCACGGAGCCGCAGCGAGAGCGAGUCUGAACAGGGCGAAUUAGUUACAUGUAUUAGACCCGAAACCGGGUGACCUAUCCAUGAGCAGGCUGAAGUUGCGGUAAGACGCAAUGGAGGGCCGCACCCACGUCCGUUGAAAAGGCCGGGGAUGACUUGUGGAUAGCGGAGAAAUUCUAAUCGAACUCGGAUAUAGCUGGUUCUCCCCGAAAUAGCUUUAGGGCUAGCGUUAUGAUAGAUUACCGGAGGUAGAGCACUGAAUGGGCUAGGGGCCGCGAGGUUACUGAACCCUAUCAAACUUCGAAUGCCGGAUAAUUGGUUCAUGGCAGUCAGACCAUGUGAGAUAAGUCGCAUGGUCAAAAGGGAAACAGCCCAGAUCCGCAGCUAAGGUCCCAAAUGAAUACUAAGUGGAAAAUGAUGUGAAAUUGCUAAGACAACCAGGAUGUUGGCUUAGAAGCAGCCACUCAUUCAAAGAGUGCGUAAUAGCUCACUGGUCGAGUGAUUUUGCGCAGAAAAUUUAACGGGGCUAAGUAUUCAACCGAAGCUCGGGCAAUGUUUGAAACAUUGGGUAGGGGAGCGUCGUAUGCGGGGUGAAGCGUGAUCGGAAGGACACGUGGACUUCAUACGAGUGAGAAUGCCGGAAUAAGUAGCGAGAAUUAUGUGAGAAUCAUAAUGGCCGAAAAUCUAAGGUUUCUUGGGGAAGGUUCGUCCGCCCAAGGUUAGUCGGGAGCUAAGGCGAGGCCUAACGGCGUAGUCGAUGCACAUACGGUUGAUAUUCCGUAACCACCGAAGAUGUUAAGCUGAGGGACACUUUCAUUAAGUCUGACCCGGGCGAUGGUUGCCCCGGGCGUAAGGGACCGAAAUAUAGUAGGGAAGCAGAUGGCGUGAGAGGCGAGAAAAGCUCAGUGUAUUGUCCAGGUGCCCGUACCGCAAACCGACACAGGUAGAUGGGAUGAGUAUUCUAAGGCCAACGGGAGAAUGGUUGUUAAGGAACUCGGCAAAUUGGCCCCGUAACUUCGGAAUAAGGGGCGCCUCUGAGAAGAGGCCGCAGUGAAAAGGCCCAAGCGACUGUUUAGCAAAAACACAGCUCUCUGCUAAAUCGAAAGAUGACGUAUAGGGGGUGACGCCUGCCCGGUGCUGGAAGGUUAAGAGGAGAUGUUAGAGCAAUCGAAGCAUUGAAUUUAAGCCCCAGUAAACGGCGGCCGUAACUAUAACGGUCCUAAGGUAGCGAAAUUCCUUGUCAGGUAAGUUCUGACCCGCACGAAUGGCGUAACGAUUUGGGCACUGUCUCAACAGCCAGCCCGGCGAAAUUGUAGUACCGGUGAAGAUGCCGGUUUCCCGCAACUAGACGGAAAGACCCCAUGGAGCUUCACUGUAGCUUGAUAUUGGAUUUCGAUAUUUCAUGUACAGGAUAGGUGGGAGGCUUGGAAGCAAGUGCGCCAGCAUUUGUGGAGCCAACCUUGGGAUACCACUCUUGGAAUAUUGGAAUUCUAACCUGCGGCCAUGAAUCUGGUCGGGGGACACUGUCAGGUGGGCAGUUUGACUGGGGCGGUCGCCUCCUAAAGAGUAACGGAGGCGCUCAAAGGUUCGUUCAGCACGGAUGGAAAUCGUGCAGUGAGUGUAAACGCAAAAACGAGCCUGACUGCGAGACUGACGGGUCGAGCAGGAACGAAAGUUGGAGUUAGUGAUCCGGCGGUAUGUGAAUGGAAAUGCCGUCGCUCAACGGAUAAAAGCUACCCUGGGGAUAACAGGCUGAUCUCCCCCAAGAGUCCACAUCGACGGGGAGGUUUGGCACCUCGAUGUCGGCUCAUCGCAUCCUGGGGCUGAAUUCGGUCCCAAGGGUUUGGCUGUUCGCCAAUUAAAGCGGUACGCGAGCUGGGUUCAGAACGUCGUGAGACAGUUCGGUCCCUAUCUGUUGCGGGCGUAGGAAAUUUGAACGGAGCUGUCCUUAGUACGAGAGGACCGGGAUGGACAUACCUCUGGUGCACCAGUUGUUCUGCCAAGGGCAUAGCUGGGUAGCUAAGUAUGGACGAGAUAAACGCUGAAGGCAUCUAAGCGUGAAACUCCCCGUAAGAUAAGAUUUCCCAUUCUUCGGAAGUAAGACCCCACGUAGACGAUGUGGUUGAUAGGUCAGGAGUGGAAGUACAGUAAUGUAUGCAGCGGACUGAUACUAAUAGGUCGAGGGCUUGACCUG
rnacentral:rRNA from 1 species